UAAGGAAUAUUGCUCAAUGGGAGAAAUCCUGAAGCAGCAACGCCGCGUGGAGGAUGAAGGGUCUAUGACUUGUAAACUCCUGUAAAGAAGGAAAAAAUUCCCAUUAGAUGGGAGAUGAUGGUACUUCUGGAGUAAGCCCCGGCUAACUACGUGCCAGCAGCCGCGGUAAUACGUAGGGGGCAAGCGUUGUCCGGAUUUACUGGGUGUAAAGGGUGCUCAGGCGGAUUUGUAAGUCAGAGGUGAAAUCUUACAGCUUAACUGUGAAACUGCCUUUGAUACUGCAAGCCUAGAGUAUGGAAGAGAGUGAUGGAAUAUCUGGUGUAGCAGUGAAAUGCGUAGAUAUCAGAUAGAACACCAAUGGCGAAGGCAGUCCCCUGGGCCUGUACUGACGCUCAUGCACGAAAGCGUGGGGAGCAAACA
rnacentral:rRNA from 1 species